ACUGCACUAAUAGUUCGUAAACACCACACAGGAAGUAGGAAAAGAACUACAUUUCCCAUCUGCCCUGGCUGUCACAGGCUAAUAGCACCAGCUGCUUUCCAUUGCCCUAAGAAGUGAUUCUACUGCGGCAACGAGACCAAAUACAACGAAAGUAUUGAUGCUGUAAAAGAAGACGGAUCUUUUGGUUGGCUGGUUAAUGAUGACCACAAGCACCCAAAUGGCAGAAUGCAGAAGACUGAAGUGGAUGGAAGCCCACAUCUUGGUCUGUUUGCUUUAACAAACUUUAAAGAAGGUGAUGAAAUUACCUACAAUUACGGAGGAGGAGACUGGCCUUGGUGUAGCAAGGUAAAACAUCUACUCUGAAAAAGAGGAAGGCUCGGGAAGGAAAUGAGGUCCAUGCAGUGGAGAGACAUAUGAAGACCUUCAUCAUGUCAUGUCAUGUCCCAGGGAAGUUGGUCUGUGAAAACUGCAUUAGAUCUGAGUCUUUAUAUCUUAGAUAGAGACUGGCAAAGUGUCAAAUUCUAUGUCUAUAACUGCACUGUAGCUUACAAAAGAGAUAUAAACAAAGAUUAAAUAACACUUUGAUAGUAACACUGUACAUCUAUAUUACAGAUACUGUACAUCAUAACAUCUGUAGUAAUGCUUUAAUAAUAAGUUACAUUACACCUCUAGCCUUUUACUUUGUAAUGAAACACUCAGCAUUUACUUCAUCAUAAACUAAUCAGGAACAAAUCAGGCAUUUAAAAUAUCCAUUAGAAUCUUUACCUACACCGUUAUAUUGAAUUAGAUCAAAUUGGUUUGGGCCGCCUUCUUCCAGUGGGUCCUUAUGCAGGUGACUGACAAGUUCAUGAGUAAGCCUAUUGGGCAAUAAAAGCUUCAGUGUGCUACCCAUUUACAUGUUUAGACUGCCUGGAAUCAAAAUUAGCUACCUCAACAUACAUUAUUAAGUUGUUACUGUCACUUUUUAGCUUAGUCAGUUAAGUGGAUAUAGAAUAAAGAAAAAAAUAGUGUUUAUGACAUUUGGUUGUGUGUCUGUGUUUGGCUAGUAUCUUUAUUUUUCUCAAUAUGUUUAACUUUGAGCUGGCUAUAUGUAGUAGCAGAAGUGUUAUGUCAAACUUAAGUGAGUCCAAGUUCAUUCAUGGCACAUGUGAGCUUAGUAGUUGUGCACUUUAAUGGGCAAAUAUUUGUUGUCUUUUACAGUAAAGAAGCUCAAGACUCAAGUUGUCUUUAUAAUGUUGAAUAGACAGGGUUUUUUCAUCUUACUGACAAUUUUUCACUUGAUUAGAGAUCCAGACCAAUAAACAAAUACUUUGUGUAGCUAAAAUAUCAAAAGGAUGAGUGUCUUUGUCAUUUUGACUUCACCAAAAUGACUGGGGAUAGUGUUAAUUUGUGAUGCAUGCCUGUGAUAAAUAAGUGAGGUUCAGUACAGCUAGCACCUCUACUUUCUAUUCCACAAAAAAAAUUGUAUACUUUGGAGCAGAAAAUGAAAAGCUUCUUAGAAUUAUAGCCUCAAAACUAAUAAUAGCACUGGUACCACCUUCCUUAACAAGUUCCUAGGUUUCUCAAAGGGUUCCUCUGUUGGAAAUAGAAAGCUCCAAAAAAAAAUGUAGUCUGUUAUCUAUUACGUGCAGAUAUUGAAAUUUCUGUAAGAGAGCUUUUUGAUAACCAAACUUUCACUGAUUGCAUAUUUCACAAAUAAGGCUAAGAGUCCUUAGUAUAAACAAUUAAGAACAACUGUUCAAUAUAAUUUCAUGAGAAGCUCAAACCUUCAAAUAGAGAAAAUACACAUCAUAUCUGCUUUACAGACAGCCCUCUAAAUUGGACAUACUUAGUUUGUAAUUUUUUAUAAAUAAUUAGAGUUAAAUUGACAACUUUGUUUUUUAAAACCAUGUCCCCUUGUUGAACUACCUGAUCUGUGUGUAUGCAGAUUAACUAUGUAGUGAUGUCCCCUCUACAACAUGAAAACCAGUUAAUUUUCUGUGUAUGAAAAUUAACUAUCUAGUGAUGUCCCCACUACAACAUGAAAACCAGUUAAUUUGCUGUGCAUGCAAAUUAGGUCCCCAUUAAUGAUGAGUUCUUGUUAUGUCCACAUUAGGUGUGAAAAAACCAAGCACAGAAAUUUUGAGAUUUAAAUCCAGAAUUUGAGAUGAUGUGUGUUCUCAGGCUUAAAUUAUACAUGCCUGAUUCUUUUCAUAUCUGUAGGACCUCAGGAAAGUGGUGUCCCCACAAUACAUGGGUGGGACUACUGACCCCAGAAUGUUCUAAUUACAAGAAUGUGUGUGUGUGUGUGUGUGUGUGUGUGUGUGUGUGUUAAAGGUACAGGAGCAGUCUGGCUGUGCAGCUACAGUAAAUGUUCCUAAUAAUAAUAAUAGGACGUUAUUUAAAAGCUCAUACAGCUGAUGUUAUUUUUAUUUAGUAGUUAAUUUAACAUGCUAUGCUAACAUGUAAACAAUAAGAUAAUAUUACCUGACGUACAUUUUACACUCAAUAUUGACUGUUUCUGUUCUAUUUCACCAACAAAAAUAUUUUUGUUUUAUAGGUCCUGCUCCUUUUUCCUCCUAAUUCCCUCAUUUCUCCACGUUGGGAUUAAUAAAGUAUUAUCGUAUCUCAUCUUUUGUUCAAAUGGGAGAUUUCUUAUUUAUUUUAUUUAUUUUGUUUAUUUUUAAAUAGGAGACUUUUUAAUACUUUUAUUAAAAAAUGGCUUCAUGUUUCAAUUAUAAUGAAGCAUUUGUUCAAACAAAAAUGUUUUCAGUCCUUUAAGGAUCAUUGUAA